UUUUAUGUGUACUUCUGUAUAAAGAUACUCUAUUUAAUAUAGAUUAUUGAUUCAUUAACAUUGAAUUCACAGCUGACAACACUGCAUAGCUCAUGCCUGAGCAAAGUUUAUCUAACACAAACAGCAAAGUUAGUCUCAAAAUGAACAAAAAUAGGAAAAGCAUGGAACUGAGCAGACCACAGAAGGACCCUUGCUUACAGAGCUGGACAGGAAGUGAGGGCACUGCCUUUUUUGACCUCAGUUUGGAUGAUUCACAUUUUUUUGCUGCUCUGCCCAUGUACAAAAAUGACUUCAGAUGUUCCACAGGUAUUGAUUUGGGGGUUAAAAAUAAGGGUUAGUAAGGAGCCAAAUUUGCAAAUACGGAAUGUCAAUAAUGAAAAUUGACUUUGUAUGUGUGCAUGUGUGUGUGUGUGUGUACAUGCAUAUAUAGGAGUGACAAGUGGCUGGCCCAAUUCAAAUUUAUAUUGAUUAGAUAGUAGCUACUUAUAGCCUUUGCAUGGUCCCAUAAGAUGCAUUCUUUUUGUAGCUGAGGAAAUUUAACUGUUUUCUACCAUAAAAAUUGUUGUAGUCAUCUGCAAUAAGGAAGUAGAAUAAUGUAAUAAGGAUUGUCCGAGUCCUUGAAAGAGACAGCUCUUAUUAGUUUUGUCUUAGGCUUUGGGGUAGGAGAGUGUGUAGGACAGAUUCUAUUGAGGAUUUUCAUGGAAAACUCAGCUAGGGAAAGGAACAGGUUUCAUUAUUUUUUCAAAUUAAUGAGCCAGGUUCUUUCAUUUCUGUCUUUGAGGUACAGGAAGGAAUUCAGAGUGGUGUUACUGAGUGGAUUCCGGAUAUCCGGCAAAAUUGGAGAAGUUCUAAUUUAUGGAGAAGUUAUAAAUUAUGUUCAUCCAUAUGAAAAGUAUGAACUGAAUGGAAGGACUACUGGUGUAACCUCUUUUGUCACUGGAAAGUUAUUGACUAGAUAUUUCAGUCUUUACAAAAGAAUUCCAGAAAGAUGGAUGUCUUCAUUAUCUCGUCUGUAGUUGGUCAAUUUUUAUAAAAUCCAAACUUUUCUUCUUCCCUUUUUCUCUUGUUGAUAAGGAUUGGACUUUCUAUGGUUUAUCCUUCCCUCUCUUAAGGUAGAUGCUUCUUUUUUAAAAACCUAAGACUUGAGACUUCACAGGCCUCCAUGGACUGUUUUUCCAUAUGCCCCAUGUAAUGGGAGCUGUCUAGGUACAGGAAUGUCCUUUCACAGUGGUUCCUAUGGUGCUGCUUUCCUCUCCCAGCUUCAGAAAAGGACACCUGGCACCUCUGAGUUCCUCACUGGUGGUGGCAGCAGGGCUUUGACAUCCCCAGUUCUUAUAUCCUUACAUAAUCCAUUGAGUGUAAGAAAUAGUCUUCUGGUAGCUCCUGCACACAUUCUGAAGGCCACUCUUUCUUGCAUUGUCCCAUACUCAGUGAUAAACUGUGUUGCAGGGUCCUCAAAACUACCCCCAGAUUCACUUAUUCUCUAUAAGAACUCAAGGGAUUCAGCACACAGGCUUACCUGCAGCUGUGAAUUAUCAUAACAAAAGAUGUAAAGCAAAAUCAGCAAAGAGAACAGGCUCACAGAGCAAAGUCUAUAGAUCGCUGGCACAAGCUUCCAGGAAUCCCCUCCCACUGCAGUCGUCCAAGGGUGGGUGCCAGCUUUUGCAUCCUAUGGUAACAGCAUUGUGAAAUGUAGACCAGGGAAGCUCAUUAGAAAAGCAGCACCCGAGGUCUUUGCUGAGGUCUGGUUGCCUAGGUACUUUCUGCCUAUCAUGUACCCAAAUCCGAAACUCUAAGGAAGGAAGCAAGUGUUCAGCAUAGACUGUUCUUUGUGCGAAGAGUUUUAUCACAGUGUACCAUUCUUCUUAGUUAGUGAAUGCUGGAAACUCUCACAAAAUCCAAGUUUCCAGAGAGCAGUCAAAGGACAACCUUAUAAGCAGAUCUUUCUAAGGACAGCAGUCUCAGGCCUCCUACAUCCUUUUCUGCACACAUAACCACCCUUGACCUAAUCAAAGAUUAAGUCCAAAGGGCGAUACAGAGAAUGUUAAUUUCCUUAAGCAAAUCAGGAUUACUAAGAUGUUUCCUUGUGUUUUGGAUUUUGGCUCGACAAAUCCCAUUUAAGAUUGUGCAGAAGAGACCCCCUGCCCUCCUUGUUGACCUGUUAACAACAAAAGGCUGAAAACAGAGCACAGGCUAACAUACCGUUGCCAUGACUACCUGUGUGACAAACAUCUUAAUGGCAUUUCGCUGAGAUGCUUCAGGUAUUGGGCUUUGGAAAAGGGGUGGCUAAAUAGAACUAAAGACCUUGUGGCACUCAGCGCCCAGUGGUGCACGAAAUAUCCAGUUAAUGCCCUCAGUGAUAGCCAUUCGUUUUUUACCAAGGGUAGUAGAAGACGAAAUGGGUUCAUGCUACCAUGAGUUGGUUUGGAUACUCACAGAAAGAAUGGUCCCUUCAGGCAUUAUUCAACUUCCACAGCUCCUGCUCACUCUCAGCCACUGUGCUGUGUCUCUGCCACCAUGACACGGAACAGCUUUCACCAAGUGAGUGAAGUCCAUUACUAAAUUCGAUGGUUGCUUCUGACUGGUUAGUUCCCUCGAGGCCUCAGUAACAUUUGACAUUAAUACUGAUGCCCUUUGUAAAGCUCUCUAUGGCUGUGUUCUCACUCUUUGAUCACAGGAUCUGUUUAUCCUUACAUUGUUGAAAACCACCCCACCAAAAAAACCAUUUUGCUUAUAAACAUUGAUAUUUAUUAGAAAUUAAAAUGGAGAAAUUUCAUGAUGUUGUUUCUCCAGUUUGUUGCAAUAUCACCUUUCCGGUAGCCUCCGGAAAUCUCCAUUCUGCAUUCAUGUGCUCAUGAGAAUGAAAUCAACAAAUAACACCUUAGUAUCCAUAUAGAGAUAUUUUGGCUUGUGUGGACCUCCUACAAGGGUCAUGGGAGCCCCGAGAGUUUGUGGACCUCACUUUGAGAAUCACUGUUCUACAUAAUUCCUGUGGCUGUUUUUAACACCAUGGGCUUCUGUCUUCCUCCUACCUUCCUGGCUCCUGCUUCUUGUUAGGUUUCCAAGGGAAGGUGAGGGUUAAAGACACACAUAGAGCGAGAGGGCGGCUCAACAGCAAAUGCAGGUAUUUAUGUCCAGGUAAACCUGCCGAGGUGGAGGACCAGCUUAAUGCCAGUGCCCACCACUGCUUACAGGCUGGGAUACUUGUAGGUAUGGCAGGGAGGGGUCUGGGCAGUAUGGCGUGCUGCCAGGGAAGAUGUUGAGAAGACGUUCCCACAAUGAGGCAGUUGGGGCCUUGUUCCCACAGAAUGUAAUAAUGAUGUUCCUUGGACUUUUUCUCAGCAGAAUGUGUUAAAGUCAGGCGGUUGGGCAGGCAGGUUCUCAUGGCCCGAACCCUCGUGGAAUGUUUCACUUUGACCAAGGUCUGCAUAUUGGCAGGGAGCUUACAAAAUGGUGCAUUUUGGAUUAACAGGUCUCAGUCUUGGGCUCCUCGUUGUCUGACAGAUCCUAAAUCUUGGCCCCUGCUGUUCCAGGUUCUCUUCUCAUCAUGCAUGUUCUCUGGGUAAUUUCAUUCACUCCUAAGGCUUAAAACAUCAUCUCUCUGCUGAAGGCUUCUAAAUCUCUUUCCCUAGCUCGGAGCCCUUUUCUGAGAUUCAGAUCCAUGUGUAGUUUGAUCUGGUGGGCACUGGUACUUUUGUAUUCCACAGGUAUCUUUGGCAACUAUCUACUUCUUUCUAUCUUCAGGGCUAUUCUUUCAGGGUCAUUCUAGCAGUCCCUAGCAGAGUUUACUGUCCUUGUCCCCGCCUGCUUUUGGUCCAUUCUCCAUCAUUGUAGAGAGAUAUAUUUAAUCAAAUCUUCUCAUUCAUGAUUAGGUCAUGUCAGUGCCUUUCCAUUAGUCUUUGGAUAAAGGCUAAGCAUUUUAAAAUGCUUAAUGGCUUUUUGUGAUAUGACUCUUACCUAAAACUCUCCAGCUUGUGUUUUGCAGUUUGUCCCUUCUCUUGAACUUCAUCUUUCAGUCACACUGAACUUUCAGGCUCUCCUAAUGGCUAUGUGUUCUCAUCCUCUGGGCAUUUACCUCUGCUGUUCCAGGAAAUGGUCUUCAACAUCUUCAGAUACCUAGAAGGUUUGCCCCUCAGUGGGAAGAAAGCUUCCAACUCCCAGCGGUUCCAGCAGAAGUCCUGGGGCUGGAGAGCUGUUCCUGAGUUGCCUGUGAUCACAUACCACACCUGAUGGCAUCACUGUAUCCAGGCUCCAGGUGCAUAGAAUGUUGUGAGGUCAUGACUGCCAGCAUUAUGACCAGUCUUGGAACUAGGAUUGGGGUGGGGUUCAUCCCACCCAGACCACAGAGACUGAAAAUAAGAAAGGGGUGAGGCCUAAGGGACAAUCAGGAUGUUUUUCAGAGAGAAGUGUGGAUGCUGGACAGGAAGAACCACAGAUACCAGAUACGGGACAUACUUUAUUCAGCUGGGUGCUGAAAAAGAAUCUUGGAAAUUAGGAAACUGAAUGAGGCCUCAUUUCACACUCAGAAUGUGGGUUGCAAUAGUCACUUCCUCUGCUGCUGGGAAAGAAAGAAUUAUACUACCUUUUGAAUUUUGGAUUAAGGAGAGAGGUGUUGGCUUGUCAAACUACCAUGUAUUCCUCAAGACAUAUUUUUGUGGCUUUAUAAAAUUCAAUAUAUAUGUCUAAAUUCAAAAAUAUUUUGUUGCAAUCUGGCCCUUGGACAAACUGAGGCCCUAGCAACUGAUGUUUAUGGCUUUCCGUAGAACCUUUCAGAUAAAAUUUACACAGCAUUUUACUGCAGCUAUUUCACACAAAGCAGAGGAUUUUGCCACAAAACUGAAAGAAAAAAGAAACUGCAUUCUUAAAUUUUUCAUAAAUCAAAAGGUAUAAAAAUAUCUACCUAAACGAUAAAGGAGAUGAGAAACCCCACCCAUGAUGGGAAGAAAGCCUAUUUCAGUUUUGCCUUUACUUCAAGUUCUUUUUUCCAUAUCUGGAAUGCAAUCAGAAUUUUAAUCUUGCCUUGGGUUCCUCCUGGAUUUGGGGAGAAGACAAAACCUGAAAAUCUCUAAUCUGCAUGUGUUCAGCUGCGUAUCUUCUGGAUACGGAAGGAUCACACUGCACAGAGUGCUGGACUUGCAGGAGCCCCGCUUCUCAACCUCCAUCGCUUUAUGAAUGAAUUCACCAGAAAGAAAAGGAAGAAUCAACACUUUCAGAGAUGGAGCCUGUUGAGCCACAGUACCAACUAGUCAAUGCUGAAUCGACUUCUCCCUUUCUACAUUGCCUGAGAGAAGUCAUUGGGGAAUACUCUGUACACGAAUUUUCACUGUUGGGGAAAACAGAGAGUCAAGGGAUUGGAUUGUGGAUUGCAUUGGUGGUUUUCCUCAGUUUCCUCAUCUUCUCCACAAGUUUCUACAUAUCGAAUGCAGAGCAGCCCUUCUUCAAAGGACCUCCUACGGAAGCUGCUAAGGAACUCAGUCUGUAGCUCUGCGUGGAGCCAUGUGUAAACACUGAACUGAGACCUGCCACCUCCUACUACCUAAGGGCCCAUUUUCAUCUGAUAUCAUCCCCCAGAAACAAACUCAUGAUGACUUCCAUGUUUUUUUUAGAUUAGAUACAUGGAGAAUUUUCCUUUCCCUUAGAAUUAAAAUCCUGCAUUCUAAUUUUCAGGUAAAACUUUUUCGUCUCUACAGAACUCUCUCCAAGUGCACACCCAUAGAUUGGUUUGCUUGUGGAAUCCUAGCAUAUCAGAAAUGAAGGAAUCUCAGAAAUUGUUUUCAUCAAACACCUCAUAUGCAGAAGGCAAAAUGAAGGUUCAGAGCAGAAAUGAUUUGUCCAAGGAUGCAACACUCAUCUGCAGCAGAGGGAAGCUGAGCUCUGCAGACCCACCUAGCACUGCAGAGGCAGCCCUCUAGGACAAGGCUUCAUAAAAAAGUGACUUUAUGAGUUGGCUCCAUAAAAAAGAUACAGAUUAAGAAAUUGUUUAAACAGUGAUCUCUAUAUAAUUACUCUUUUAUUUAAAAGUAUGGGCUGGGAGCGGUGGCUGACGCCUGUAAUCCCAGCACUUUGGGAGGCCGAUGUGAGCAGAUAACCUGAGGUCGGGAGUUAGAGACCAGCCUGACCAACAUGGAGAAACUCCGUCUCUACUAAAAAUACAAAAUUAGCAGGGUGUGGUGGUGCAUGCCUGUAAUCCCAGCUACUCGGGAGGCUGAGGCAGGAGAACUGCUUGAACCCAGGAGGCAGAGGUUGUGGUGAGCCGAGAUCGCGCCAUUGCACUCCAGCCUGGGCAACAAGAGCGAAAC
rnacentral:lncRNA from 1 species